ensembl:lncRNA
AUUUGGAAUGACAUGUAGGUGAGUAAAUGAUUUUCAGUACUUCAAUUUCUGGUUGAACUGUCCCUUAAAGACUCUACAGCCUAUUGAAAAGACAUAAAUGUAUUACUUACAACCUUGAUUUCAUUAAUCUCAAAGGAAAUACCCUCAAACUAAAUGUAAACAAGUCCGUAAAGCAAUGCUAACAUCUGCAAUCUGGUUGGUAAUACGUGAUUGGCACACUGGGCUAUAUCUUCCCGAGAACCCUGAUCUCUUGUGAAAAAACAUGGUAGCCUGUCCAUGCAGACAGAUCUGACUGUGUAAUGUAUUGACAGUUGAGCAGUCUACAUUAAGUGCAUACAUUGAAAACACACGUCUGUCAAGGGAGGGGGGUUAUUUAGGAGGAAGAUCAAUAGAAGGUUAAAUGACGGCCCUUCUUUGACUCUACAGGCCCAGCUAGAGCAAGGGGGAGUAGCUCUUCCGAACUCUCCCCCUCCUUUUCUCUUUCCCUACUGCUUCUGCAGCCAUCACACAUACUCAGCUUAGUUAGCCUGGGAAAAAGAGCCCCAAACCCCGAUCAAUAACUUUGGUCUUGUCUGCCUAAUUGCUCAUUGGUUGACAUUGGCACCCAGCUAUAUGUAAGUGCAUGUUCCUGGAGUGAUUCACUCUUCCCUUUCCUCUCUCUCUCCACCUCCCUCUCUUUACUCUCAAAAACGCCUCACGCCCUCUGUUCCUUCCUCUUCGCCACGUUUGGGAUGCCCGAACCACAGUUGUCACGUCGGGACGUGAGCAUCCAAAGGCUCCGGCAAGACCUGCUCCACUCUCAUCAGGCCCGUGACGCCCAGAGUGUUCAGCUGGACGUCCAAGAGCAGAGACUGCAGGAUCUGCAGCGAGAGCUGCAAGAAAGCCAGCAGGAGCUCCAGAGGAGACACGACCGCAACCAGCAGCUUCUCAGGUUGCUGCAAGAUGCCAGGAAGCAAGAUCAGGAGCUACAGGCUCAGGAAUGGUGUUGGCUCCGGAGGGCACAAGAGGACCUGAAAGCGAGAGAGGAGGAGUGGAGGAAAGAGAGAUCCUUCCUUCAAGAGCAGCUCGAUGGUGUCAGAGAGGAGCUCCACCAUGCCAAACACUCGGGGAAGAAGAGCAUCGGCUGAAAGUGCUGCAGAUUGAUGAACUCCAAAGAGAGGUUGACAUGACGCUGGCACUGCUUGAAAAGGAGAGAGAGCUGGUAGAAGAGCAGUCCACAGUCUCCAGGCUGCAGCGUGAGCAACAGGAAGCAGAACAUCAGAGGGAUCUCCUGGGCACCAGAGUAGCUGCGCUGAACUGUGACAUCCAGCAGAAAGACUGCAUGCGGCUCACAGAGCAGGACGAGGUGUCCAGUAGAGAUGACCUGCAGGCGGCGGACCGCUCGAGAAUCUGACUGCUGCACAAGAGGAGGAAGAGGAGGUGAGGAACACCUGUCAAUCAUUUAGUCUUUGACAACUUUUAUAGGUGUCUGUGACAUAUACAGAUUGAAAAUACAGUGAUGUACACCUUUAUUGAAAAGUUGGGGGUCAGAUUCAGAGUCUCUUAUGCUCACCAAAGCUGCUUUAAUGAAAUAUUAUUACAGUAAAAAGUGAAAGUGACGUGACAUACAGCCAAG